rnacentral:rRNA from 1 species
UACAGAGGGUGCAAGCGUUAUUCGGAAUUACUGGGCGUAAAGCGUGCGUAGACGGUUAUUUAAGUCAGGUGUGAAAGCCCCGGGCUCAACCUGGGAAUUGCAUUUGAGACUGAAUAGCUAGGGUGCGGAAGAGGGAAGCGGAAUUUCCGGUGUAGCGGUGAAAUGCGUAGAUAUCGGAAGGAACACCAGUGGCGAAGGCGGCUCGCUGGGCCAUUCCUGACGCUGAGACGCGAAAGCUAGGGGAGCGAACAGG